rnacentral:rRNA from 1 species
UACAGAGGGGGCAAGCGUUGUUCGGAAUUACUGGGCGUAAAGGGCGCGUAGGCGGCCUGUUAAGUCGAACGUGAAAUCCCCGGGCUCAACCCGGGAACUGCGUCCGAUACUGGCAGGCUUGAAUUCGGGAGAGGGAUGCGGAAGUCCAGGUGUAGCGGUGAAAUGCGUAGAUAUCUGGAGGAACACCGGUGGCGAAGGCGGCAUCCUGGACCGAGAUUGACGCCUGAGGCGCGGAAAGCCAGGGAGCAAACGGGG